UUGUUUACAUUUAUAAUUGAUUAGGCAGAGCAUAUGAGCGGCAUAUGCACAUAGAUUACUUGUUUCGGUCUUAUCAAUUUGUUAAUCAAUCAAGCAGGUAAGAAGUGCGAGUACGAGCUUGUCAUGGAACGGAUGCAGAAGAUCCGGGAAGCCGAAGCCCAACAAAAACAAGGUUGCUGAAGCUGCUGAGAUUGUGUCAUUAUUAGUCCAUCAAAUUCUGUUUGAAACUCUUCUAUGUAAUGCUACCUGGAGCUAGCCUAUCCUGUUCUGGCAUUUUGUUUUUCUAUUAAGCAUCUUGUGGACACAGCUUUUGGUUUAUUCGGAGGCCGUCUCAGUAUCUCACAGAUUACUGAAUUAUGUGUUUAUAAUGCAAAUCUCAUGGACUGGUUUUAAAAGAUCAGAUGCCAAAUGAACCUUUUCUUGUGAAAUUUUGGCAA